GAUCAUGGCUCAGGAUGAACGCUAGCGGCAGGCCUAACACAUGCAAGUCGAAGGGCAGCACGGUGUAGCAAUACACUGGUGGCGACCGGCGCACGGGUGCGUAACGCGUAUGCAACCUACCCAUAACAGGGGGAUAACACUGAGAAAUUGGUACUAAUACCCCAUAACAUCAGGACCGGCAUCGGUUCUGGUUGAAAACUCCGGUGGUUAUGGAUGGGCAUGCGUUGUAUUAGCUGGUUGGUG
rnacentral:rRNA from 1 species